GGGCACGUGGUGUAGUUGGUUAUCACGCUCGCUUAGCAGCUGUAAGUGCGAGAGGGGUCCGGUUCGAUCCCGGACGUGUCCA
rnacentral:tRNA from 2 species